UGUUGCCUGAUUCUUGUGUUCAUGUUUUGCUUUCUCCCAUUAUAGAGGAAUUGAUUUUUGCCUUAUUAUUGUGUUCAUAUUGUUCUCUUCUCAUUCAAGAUUAGUCCUUUGUUUCUGUCAAGCUUCUCCAACAACAAAGUCAAAUCUAGAGUGUGGGAAAUAGUUAGAAGAUCUGAGACCUAACAUUCAAACACGACACAUGGACAAAUAGCGAGCCACUUCGAUUAUUUGGAAAAUCAUCUAUUGCUAAAAUGUGCAGGAUGAGGUACUAGUCAGGAGGAAAGGGUCGGAAAAAAUUCAAGUGAAAAGAACGCAGGAAGGGUAUUAUACUGACCAGGAUGCAUGCCAUAAAGCUUGAGCACAAGAUGGAGUGGAUUGCUAUAAAUGAUCAUCUAUCUAGAAGGAGCAGAAUUGUAAACUCAAGAGAAUUAGCAACCUUAGGGAUUGGGGCAGGCCUCCCUAUAAAUAGAAGAUCAACAUUGAAGAAACUUUGUUCAUGCUUAUACCAUUAUUUAGAUAGCUAUACUGCAUUUCUUAGAUAAACUUUACUGCAUUCUCUUAGCAUAGCGUAGCUAGUGUUCACUUGAAGUUGUUGGCCACCUGCCGGGAGAGGGAGUCUACCAUCCAUCCAGCCAGCCCACCACCGCAGUUACAGAAUUUCAUCCAGCUUCUGUGGAGCACAACACCCCUUUAUAUGUUUUCCUUUAAUGUUUUCUUAGUUUAAAUACUUGUUUUUACAUGCACUUGCCUUAGAUUUCAGUAGCUGCUUAGUUAAAAACAUCUUUUGGUUUGAAUAUCUUGAGUGCAAUGAAGUUUAUUAUAGUUUUAUUUUA